rnacentral:rRNA from 1 species
UACGGGGGGGGCAAGCGUUAAUCGGAAUUACUGGGCGUAAAGCGUGCGUAGUCGGUUAUCUAAGUCGGGUGUGAAAUCCCCGGGCUCAACCUGGGAAUUGCAUUCGAUACUGGAUAGCUAGAGUUCGGCAGAGGGAAGCGGAAUUUCGGGUGUAGCGGUGAAAUGCGUAGAUAUCCGAAGGAACAUCAGUGGCGAAAGCGGCUUCCUGGACCAGAACUGACGAUCAGGCACGAAAGCGUGGGGAGCAAACAGG